rnacentral:tRNA from 1 species
GCACGCGUGGCGCAACUGGAUAGCGCAUCGGUCUUCGGAACCGAGGGUUGGGGGUUCGAAUCCCUCCGCGUGUA